rnacentral:rRNA from 1 species
AUGGCUGCAAGAGCACUGGUGCCGGCUGUCCUCCCGCUUCUCCUUCUGGUUGUCGCUACCAGCGCCUACGGCGGCGCCCAUGGUCGGCGGCCGAUAAGCCGGAGGAGCUUCCCCAAGGGCUUCCUCUUUGGGACGGCCACCUCGUCCUAUCAGUAUGAGGGUGGUGCAAUGGAGGGGGGCAGGGGACCAAGCAUCUGGGACAACUUCACUCACCAGCACCCAGAUAAAAUCGCCGAUAGAAGCAAUGGGGAUGUGGCAGUGGACUCCUACCAUCUUUACAAGGAAGAUGUGCGCCUCAUGAAGGAUAUGGGAAUGGACGCAUACAGGUUUUCCAUCUCAUGGACAAGAAUUCUUCCAGAUGGAACUCUCAAAGGUGGAGUCAACCGAGAAGGCAUCAAGUAUUACAACAACUUGAUCGAUGAGCUGCUGUCCAAAGGGGUGCAGCCAUUUGUGACCCUUUUUCACUGGGACUCUCCACAGGGAUUGGAAGACAAAUAUGGAGGAUUUCUUAGCCCUAAUAUCAUAAAUGACUACAAAGAUUAUGCUGAAGUCUGCUUCAGAGAAUUCGGAGAUCGGGUGAAGCACUGGAUCACGUUCAACGAGCCCUGGUCCUUCUGCGUCACGGGUUAUGAAAGGGGUGUAUUUGCGCCGGGCCGGUGUUCGCCUUGGGAGAAGGCAAACUGCAGCGCCGGAGAUUCAGGAAGGGAGCCGUACACUGCAGCCCACCAUCAGAUACUCGCUCAUGCAGCAGCAGCUAGAUUGUAUAAACAGAAAUAUAAGGCCGAGCAGAAGGGGAAGAUCGGAAUAAGUUUGGUGUCAAACUGGUUCACUCCCUUGUCCCGUUCAAAAUCAAGCGUCGUCGCGACGAGACGCGCCAUCGAAUUCAUGCUUGGAUGGUUUUUGGACCCGCUCGCCAGAGGAGACUACCCCGAGAGUAUGAAAGAAUUAGUAGGAAACCGUCUGCCGCAGUUCACCAAAAAACAGUCUGAAUUGGUGAAGGAUUCAUUCGACUUCAUUGGAAUCAACUACUAUACUACAAACUACGCGGGUAGCCUUCCUCUAUCAAAUGGCCUGAGGAACAGCUACUCUACCGAUGCUCAAGCAAAUCUUACCGGUGUUCGAAAUGGUGUCCCCAUAGGUCNNNNNGCUGCUUCACCUUGGCUCUAUGUCUACCCUAAAGGGUUCCGUGAUCUUCUACUUUAUCUCAAGGAGAAGUACCGCAAUCCGAUCGUCUACAUCACUGAAAACGGUGUCGAUGAAGCCAACAACAAGAGCCUACCACUCGAGGAAGCCCUCAAGGACGAUGCCAGGAUAGAGUACCACCACAUGCACCUUGAUGCCCUGCUGAGUACGAUCAGGGACGGGGCGAACGUGAAGGGGUACUUCGCGUGGUCGCUGUUAGACAACUUCGAGUGGGCGAGCGGGUACACGGUGCGCUUCGGGUUACACUUUGUGGAUUAUAACCAUGGUCGGAAGCGGUACCCCAAGCGCUCCGCCGGCUGGUUCAAAAGGUUCCUCAAGAGAUGA